UAGUACGGAACAACAGUUAGAAAUGACUGCUAAUACCGUAUACGCCCUUUGGGGAAAGAUUUAUCGCUAUUGGAUGGGCCCGCGUUAGAUUAGCUAGUUGGUAAGGUAACGGCUUACCAAGGCGACGAUCUAUAGCUGGUCUGAGAGGAUGAUCAGCCACACUGGAACUGAGACACGGUCCAGACUCCUACGGGAGGCAGCAGUGGGGAAUAUUGGACAAUGGGGGCAACCCUGAUCCAGCCAUGCCGCGUGAGUGAUGAAGGCCCUAGGGUUGUAAAGCUCUUUCAACGGUGAAGAUAAUGACGGUAGCCGUAGAAGAAGCCCCGGCUAACUUCGUGCCAGCAGCCGCGGUAAUACGAAGGGGGCGAGCGUUGUUCGGAAUCACUGGGCGUAAAGCGUACGUAGGCGGAUAGAUUAGUUAGAGGUGAAAUCCCAGGGCUCAACCCUGGAACUGCCUUUAAUACUGUCUAUCUAGAGAUCGAGAGAGGUGAGUGGAAUUCCUAGUGUAGAGGUGAAAUUCGUAGAUAUUAGGAAGAACACCAGUGGCGAAGGGGCUCACUGGCUCGAUACUGACGCUGAGGUACGAAAGC
rnacentral:rRNA from 1 species